rnacentral:rRNA from 1 species
CCUACUGGUGGCAGCAGUGGGGAAUAUUGGACAAUGGGGGGAACCCUGAUCCAGCGACGCCGCGUGAGUGAAGAAGUAUUUCGGUAUGUACCGCUCUAUCAGCAGGGAAGAAAGGAAUGACGGUACCUGACUAAGAAGCCCCGGCUAACUACGUGCCAGCAGCCGCGGUAAUACGUAGGGGGCAAGCGUUAUCCGGAUUUAAUGGGUGUAAAGGGAGCGUAGACGGUUACGCAAGUCUGGAGUGAAAGGCGGGGGCCCAACCCCCGGACUGCUUUGGAAACUGUAUAACUGGAGUGCAGGAGAGGUAAGUGGAAUUCCUAGUGUAGCGGUGAAAUGCGUAGAUAUUAGGAGGAACACCAGUGGCGAAGGCGGCUUACUGGACUGUAACUGACGUUGAGGCUCGAAAGCGUGGGGAGCAAACAGGAUUAGAUACCCCAGUAGUC